rnacentral:tRNA from 1 species
UCACAAGGAUGGCUUCGGCUUCCUGAUUCCUGACGACGGCGGCAGCGAUCUGUUCCUGACGGCGCGCCAGAUGCGCCAGGU